rnacentral:lncRNA from 1 species
GAAAGACAUAGAGCCAGAUUUCUGAUGUUCUUAUAGAAGAAGACUCUCCUUCCAAACAAAAACCAACUUCCAUUUCAUCCUCCCUUCCUGCAAGCCAAAGAUAUCAACUUGAAUGAUGAGAAACUGGAGCUAAGAAACAUGAAGAAAUUUGCUCAGGGUCCUGUAACUAUCAAAGAGGAGCCGGUAUUAGUCAAGGUCCACCGACUUCAGAACCUGUGUUCUUCCACCCUGUGGCGAAGCCCUCACAUUGACAGUGACAGCUCUGGAUCAUCAAAAGAAGACCGACUUAUAACUGUUUAAGAAGCCAGGAAAAUUGCACAGGUUAAACUGUUGGGAAAAAAUGUACUUAAAUGGCAAGCAUCUAGCUGGAAAACAGCUUUCCAGAAUGACCAGAUAAAUAACAACAAGGAACUGCUAAAUAAUUAAAAUCCUUACAAACCUUUCCCAGCUUUAUCUUUUUGGUACCCAGGAUCAAACUCUUGCACUUGCAAGGCAAGCGGCAGAACCAGUGAGCUAAAUCCUCGGCCCCCCACCUUUAUCUUGACAUUGGUAUAAUUUUCUCUUUCUUGUAGAUGAUCUUAUGCGAACAUCUCAGCGGACACAGAAGAAAAUACAGAAAGGAAUUUCUCAUAGUAACCAAGAGCAUGACAGAAUUUUCAAUCUGAAAUAAACCCAUUGGAAAUUGGAUUCUCUUGAAAAAGAAGUCUAUUUUGGUGGAGAAUACAGACGAUGUGGAAUAAUCAAGUCAGGUGUUUCCAGAAGAACGAGUCACGCUUAUUAAAGCCAGUAUUGGAAGCCCAUAAAAAAAUGCUGGACUCUUUGCCUUCUCUGAUGCAGUGUGAUUUUGGAUUUUUCUCUCUACUACAUUAACCACACAUUCCUUAAAGAGUACUUAGAGUCCUGGGAAGGAUGUAAAAUGUCAACACUGAACUAAGAUCACAAACUUCCUGAAAUCAUAGCAAACGUGUUGUUAAGGAUCAAGCUGAAGAUGUACAAAUCAAAAACAAUACUUGAAACAUACUUUCAGCUUUUCAGUUCAUCCUAAAAAUUCAACUGUUACCCAAAAAUCAGGGCCACUGCACCUCCCUCCUCUUCUAGCUCCUUCUCUGAAGAGCUCAACGCACUUUCCAGACAUGACUUCAUUUACUCUCCCAGUCACUAACAGUGCGGGAGAGAGGAGCCGGAGCUUUUCUCUCCGUAUUACAUACUGAGGGAAAACAGCCUAGAAAGAAAUCAUGUUAGAGUACACAGAGCGUCUGGUGAAAGGGCCUGCACGCCCCUCAUCUCUUCUGGUUUGCAAAGGCAGUCUGCAGAAAGUGAAAGCUAAGAGAAAAAUGUCCA